UCAGCGGUUGGCCCUCUAGCGAUUGGAAGUGGGCAAGUAAACGAAUAAUGCCCAUAUCCGUGACAGUUAAAGCACAUGACGUACGACGGCGUCACCGGAGUCAAAGCAUCAAGUCUCGGACAGUUUAUGGUUCGGUGGCCGAUCGACCCACACGAACCGCAAGGAAUGAAACCUGUCCGAUGAUUCCAUGUAGAGUUCCUUACAGAUUUUCGGGCGGAUGCCCUCGUUCUUGGUCCUCUUCUUGCCGGUGGCUCCACAAAGCGUGGGACACGGCUUUCCCUCUCGUCCAUCAAUCUCGGGCGCUUCCGGAUN
rnacentral:lncRNA from 1 species